UACGAAGGGGGCUAGCGUUGCUCGGAAUCACUGGGCGUAAAGGGUGCGUAGGCGGGUCUUUUAAGUCAGGGGUGAAAUCCUGGAGCUCAACUCCAGAACUGCCUUUGAUACUGAAGAUCUUGAGUUCGGGAGAGGUGAGUGGAACUGCGAGUGUAGAGGUGAAAUUCGUAGAUAUUCGCAAGAACACCAGUGGCGAAGGCGGCUCACUGGCCCGGUACUGACGCUGAGGUGCGAAAGCGUGGGGAGCGAACAGG
rnacentral:rRNA from 1 species